rnacentral:rRNA from 1 species
GAUGAACGCUGACAGAAUGCUUAACACAUGCAAGUCAACUUGAACUUCGGUUUGGGUGGCGGACGGGUGAGUAACGCGUAAAGAACUUGCCUCACAGCUAGGGACAACAUUUGGAAACGAAUGCUAAUACCUGAUAUUAUGAUUAUAUGGCAUCGUAUAAUUAUGAAAGCUAUAUGCGCUGUGAGAGAGCUUUGCGUCCCAUUAGCUAGUUGGAGAGGUAACAGCUCACCAAGGCGAUGAUGGGUAGCCGGCCUGAGGGGGUGAUCGGCCACAAGGGGACGAGACAACGGCCUUUCCUCCUCCGGGAGGCGGCAGUGGGAAUAAUUGGACAAGGACCGGGAGGUUUAAUCAGGAAUUCUUGUUGGAAGAUGAAGUUUUUCGGAAAGUUAAGGUGUUUUAGUUUGGAAAAAAAAAAUGACGGUACCAACAGAAGAAGUGACGGCUAAAUACGUG